UACGUAGGGUGCAAGCGUUAUCCGGAAUUAUUGGGCGUAAAGAGCUCGUAGGCGGUUUGUCGCGUCUGCUGUGAAAACCCGAGGCUCAACCUCGGGCCUGCAGUGGGUACGGGCAGACUAGAGUGCGGUAGGGGAGAUUGGAAUUCCUGGUGUAGCGGUGAAAUGCGCAGAUAUCAGGAGGAACACCGGUGGCGAAGGCGGGUCUCUGGGCCGAUACUGACGCUGAGGAGCGAAAGCGUGGGGAGCAAACAGG
rnacentral:rRNA from 1 species